UACCUGAAGAUGGAUACAACCCCUGAA
rnacentral:piRNA from 1 species